GUGUCAGCAGCCGCGGUAAUACGUAGGGGGCAAGCGUUAUCCGGAAUUAUUGGGCGUAAAGAGUGCGUAGGUGGUUUGAUAAGCGCAUAGGUGAAAGGCUACAGCUCAACUGUAGUAAGCCUUGCGAACUGUCAAACUUGAGUGCAGGAGAGGAGAGUGGAAUUCCUAGUGUAGCGGUGAAAUGCGUAGAUAUUAGGAGGAACACCAGUGGCGAAGGCGACUCUCUGGACUGUAACUGACACUGAGGCACGAAAGCGUGGGGAGCGAACAGGAUUAGAUACCCUGGUAGUCCACGCCGUAAACGAUGAGCACUAGGUGUCGGGGUCGCAAGGCCUCGGUGCCGCAGUUAACGCAUUAAGUGCUCCGCCUGGGGAGUACGCACGCAAGUGUGAA
rnacentral:rRNA from 1 species